GCGCCCGUAGCUCAGCUGGAUAGAGUGCCAGACUUCGAAUCUGGAUGUCGGGAGUUCGAGUCUCUCCGGGCGCGCCA
rnacentral:tRNA from 2 species